rnacentral:ribozyme from 12 species
AAACAACAUGCAUUUUUUCAUCAGAUGGAUGAAUAAAAAACAAACAAAACAAACACACACACAAAAAAACAGGGCCCGGGUACUGGAUCAAAAUUUUUUCCUUUUUUUUUUUUUUUUUUUU